rnacentral:lncRNA from 1 species
AUCAUCUCCUCUAAAAUUCUCUCUCUCUCUCUCUCUCUCUCUCUCUCUCUCGUAAUCCUCAUUAUCCAAGUCUAGAGCCGUUUGUAAUUUGUUUUGAAGAUCAAAUGGCCAUGUCCAACACAUUUACACUUUGCAUUGUUGCUCUCUUGGUGUGCUCGAUUUGCAGUGAAACGACGAAUGCAAAAGAUAUUGGUUAUGGGACAAUGCGCCGUGAUCAGCCGUUUGGAUGCAGGGGGCAACGGUGCAUGCCUCCACCAUCCAACUCUUAUAACAGAGGUUGUGAGAAGGAGAAGGAGUGCAGAGGUGGUAGUCGUAAACUAAAAUGAGUCUUCCGAAGCACAACAUAUAACCAAGAAGGGGAGACACCAAGAAAUGGCGCUUAAAACACUAAAGUGGGAUGCCCAUUCUUUUACAUAAAUGUAUUUAUUAUACUACUCUACAUCUAGCCAUAUUGUGAACAUGAUGUAAUAAAGAACAACAUUAAUUAAUCAAUUUCUAAAGAGCUCAAC